UAUAAAUAAAAAUAAAAUCCAAUAUAUAUAUAGAAAGAAGUCAUCUCCUUUAUAAUAAAAUAACAGAAUCUGUUAUAAAUCGAAAGAUAUUUUUUUUUAAUUUAUAUUUGAGCUGAUUACAAUACUUUUAAUUUUCACAACAAUAAUUUUCAUAUUUCGUUUUGAUUUAUUAGAGACGAAACUAAAACAAGUUGGAGAAUCACUGUAACUCUUCUCCUAUCUGCAAUGGGAGUCAGCUGUUCAUAUGGACCUUUCUCCCACGCGAACAGUUGUGCCCUUAGUUGGACACUUCCUUUGCCUGGUGAGAUUAGAAUGGUUAUUGCGCUACCAGCUGGGGGCGGAUCGGAUCGGAGUGUACUUUGGGAAUCCGAUGAAAUUAUGUUGUAUUUUAUAGAAGCAAAAAAGGUGGUGGAAUAUUAGCCAGGUUACUGAAGAAAGUCCACAAAGAACCAGAACUACAUUAACAACAACAUGACGUGGAGGAUGAAAUAUGUAUUUAAUAUGUAUUUUUUAUACUAAUAAUAUAUACAGCGCUAACAUUUUUUUUAUUUAAUAAAUUUUAUGUGUGAA